CUUAAAAUGCCUGAUUUACUGGACUCCAUGAAAUCUCUAGAAAAUAUCAUAACAAUACACUGGCACGCAAUGACAAAAGUUUGUUGGGCGGUGCGCGAUAUCUUUGAGAGCCGAGUUGCAAGUUCUCUCCACCACGAUGAAAGGUCACGGAGCAACGAUCUCGGCAUGCGUUCUAAUAUUACCGUAUAUUCGAACAUCGCAACGUGAACUCGGUUUCGCCCUGAUUCUCCGUCGAUACACACAAAUUCGCGACUCAAAAAAAAUUAUUUCAACGAAAGAAAUCAUCGAUUCAAAUCCCGGAGACAUUGAAAAGUAAAACCGCGAGACUAAAAUGCACGAGAAACGCUUGUGCGUUUAAGUUUUUAUUGAUUCGAUUCAUCAGCUACAUUCCACUGUAUUCGAAGUCAACGAGACAAUUGAACGUUUCGUAUCAACCAAUAGACAUUCCAGAAAGAACGCUCAUAAUUAUUAAAAAAAAAAAAAAAAAAAAAAAAAAAA